UACGUAGGGUGCGAGCGUUGUCCGGAAUUAUUGGGCGUAAAGGGCUCGUAGGCGGUUUGUCACGUCAGGAGUGAAAACUCGGGGCUCAACCCCGAGCCUGCUUCUGAUACGGGCAGACUAGAGGUAUGCAGGGGAGAACGGAAUUCCUGGUGUAGCGGUGAAAUGCGUAGAUAUCUGGAGGAACACCGGUGGCGAAGGCGACAUCCUGGACCGGUAUUGACGCUGAGGCGCGAAAGCCAGGGGAGCAAACGGG
rnacentral:rRNA from 1 species